CAUGGCAAUGCUGGAAGCCGGUCCUGUACCCUGAGACAGUAUAAAGGAAGGUUUCUAUUAAGAAGCAGGAUACUGAACAAAGAACUUGCUAUAGAGUUUCAUGUUGCUAUUCUCCACAUCCAGAUGAAGGCUCUGCAACAGAAUAAAUGAAAGAGGAAGAAAAAGGCUUCUAUUGUUGACAUCCUUGAAAUGAUGCUCAUUAAAAACAUGCAUAUUACUA
rnacentral:lncRNA from 14 species